AUUUACAGAUUGCAACAGACACUUGGUUUAAGGAGUGAGCAAAGCAGAUGUCUGUCUGUCUGUCUGAGAAGUACAUCAUGCCCUGCGCACGGAGCUGAGCUAAUGCCAGGCACCAGAGACUGUUUUAAUUUCUGUACUGAAG
rnacentral:lncRNA from 1 species